rnacentral:rRNA from 1 species
UACGUAGGGUCCGAGCGUUAAUCGGAAUUACUGGGCGUAAAGCGUGCGCAGGCGGUUUUGUAAGCCAGAUGUGAAAGCCCCGGGCUUAACCUGGGAAUGGCAUUUGGGACUGCAAGGCUGGAGUACGGCAGAGGGAGGUGGAAUUCCAGGUGUAGCAGUGAAAUGCGUAGAUAUGCGGAGGAACACCGAUGGCGAAGGCAAUCCCCUGGGCCUGCACUGACGCUCAUGCACGAAAGCGUGGGGAGCAAACAGG